GACACGGUCCAGACUCCUACGGGAGGCAGCAGUAGGGAAUAUUCCGCAAUGGGCGAAAGCCUGACGGAGCAAUACCUCGUGAGUGAUGAAGGCUUUAGGGUCGUAAAGCUCAGUCAGCAGGGAAGAAGGGUUAUGGUUCGAAUAGGGCUAUAGCUUUGACGGUACCUGCAGAGGAAGCCACGGCUAAUUACGUGCCAGCAGCCGCGGUAAUACGUAAGUGGCAAGCGUUGUCCGGAUUUACUGGGCGUAAAGAACGCGUAGGCGGUUUUCUAAGUUGGGGGUGAAAUCCUGAGGCCCAACCUCAGGCCUGCCUCCAAAACUGGAGAACUAGAGUUUCGGAGAGGAAGAUGGUAUUCCAUGUGUAGCGGUGAAAUGCGUAGAUAUAUGGGAGAACACCAAUGGCGAAAGCAGUCUUCUGGACGAAUACUGACGCUGAGGCGUGAAAGCGUGGGUAGCGAACAGGAUUAGAUACCCUGGUAGUCCACGCCGUAAACGAUGGGUACUAGUUGCUGGGGAUAAUAGUCUUCGGUGACGAAGUUAACGCAUUAAGUACCCCGCCUGGGGAGUACGGUCGCAAGAUUAAAACUCAAAGGAAUUGACGGGGGCCCGCACAAGCGGUGGAGUAUGUGGUUUAAUUCGAUGCAACGCGGAGAACCUUACCUGGGCUUGACAUCCAACGCUAUCCAUAGAGAUAUGGAGUUUGAUAGUAAUAUCGACGUUGAGACAGGUGGUGCAUGGUUGUCGUCAGCUCGUGUCGUGAGAUGUUCGGUUAAGUCCGGCAACGAG
rnacentral:rRNA from 1 species